GGUUUCGGCUCGUAAGCUCUGUUGUUAAAGAAGAACACSYAUKAGAGUAACUGUUCAUACGUUGACGGUAUUUAACCAGAAAGUCACGGCUAACUACGUGCCAGCAGCCGCGGUAAUACGUAGGUGGCAAGCGUUAUCCGGAUUUAUUGGGCGUAAAGAGAGUGCAGGCGGUUUUCUAAGUCUGAUGUGAAAGCCUUCGGCUUAACCGGAGAAGUGCAUCGGAAACUGGAUAACUUGAGUGCAGAAGAGGGUAGUGGAACUCCAUGUGUAG
rnacentral:rRNA from 1 species